GGGUUGUUGUGGUUCUGGUUCUGGAAGGAACCAGGUCCUGGAGGAGGCAAGAAGGGCUGCAGUGCCGGGCAGGGAGGCCCUGCCCCUUGGGCAGGAAGGACCAUCUGUGGAUGCUAUGGCUCCUAGCCAAGGACUCUUCCUGCAUACACUGGCAAAUCUCUCCACCUGCAACAACUUCUCCCCUGACUCUACUCAUUUCUAAAUUUUCACUUUUUAAUUUAA